CUAACGGUACAGGAUGUGCUUGCACAUCGCUGACGAGUGGCGGACGGGUGAGUAAUGCUUAGGGAUCUGCCUCUGUGUGGGGGAUAACUAUUGGAAACGACAGCUAAUACCGCAUAAUGUUUACGGACCAAAGGGGGCGUUUGCUCCCGCGCAGAGAGGAACCUAAGUGAGAUUAGCUAGUUGGUAAGGUAAUGGCUUACCAAGGCGACGAUCUCUAGCUGUUCUGAGAGGAAGAUCAGCCACACUGGGACUGAGACACGGCCCAGACUCCUACGGGAGGCAGCAGUGGGGAAUAUUGCACAAUGGGGGGAACCCUGAUGCAGCCAUGCCGCGUGUGUGAAGAAGGCCUUCGGGUUGUAAAGCACUUUCAGUUGUGAGGAAAGGUUAGUAGUUAAUACCUGCUAGCUGUGACGUUAGCAACAGAAGAAGCACCGGCUAACUCCGUGCCAGCAGCCGCGGUAAUACGGAGGGUGCGAGCGUUAAUCGGAAUUACUGGGCGUAAAGCGCACGCAGGCGGUUUGUUAAGCUAGAUGUGAAAGCCCCGAGCUCAACUU
rnacentral:rRNA from 1 species